GGCGCCUGUUUAUCAAAAACAUGGUUUUUUGAGAUAAUAAAAAAUCUAACCUGCUCAAUGCUAAUGUAAAUAGCCGCAGUAUUAUGACUGUGCUAAGGUAGCAUAAUCAUUUGUCUUUUAAAUGAGGUCUAGAAUGAAAGGUUAGACGGAAAAGGAACUGUCUCUUUAUUAAAAAAUGAAUUUAAUUAUUUAGUAAAAAGGCUAAUAUAUAGUUGAUGGACGAUAAGACCCUAUUAAACUUAAUUAUUGGAAUUUUGCUGGGGCGGUAAGAUAAGAGUAGGAUCUUAUUGAAAAUUGUUAAAUAAUUAUUGACCCAAUUAUUAUUGAGGUAAAGAUAAAGUUACUAUAGGGAUAACAGCUUAAUUUUUCCUUGAAGUUCUUAUUUUAGGAAAAGUUUGAGACCUCGAUGUUGAAUUAAAGUAUCUUUUUAGUGCAAAGGCUAAAUGAAGAAAGUCUGUUCGACUUUUAAAUCUUUACGUGAUCUGAGUUCAGACCGGCC
rnacentral:rRNA from 1 species